CAGGGGAUGAGAGCUCACAUGGUGCGACUGGGACUGCUCAACCAGGAGAUAAAGGACCGAGCAGAGUUUGGUUUGCGCCACGUAGGUUGCCCAGAAGCCAGUAAAACUUGCUGAUAUUGAGUCUCACUUACUACUGGAAUCUGUGUGUGUAGGCCUACAAUCACAGUGUUUGUCGUAACAUUUAAAUUAUUAUUGUGAUACAUUUUAUUAAAUAUUUUGAACACUUCAGUAUA